AGUAGCUAAAUAUGGUUGGUAAGUGGUAAGAUUGAGGUGUGAGGAAGAGUGGAAAAUAGUUGGAAAAAUAAGGGGAUAUCGGUCGAUGCUCUCUGUGUGGGGGAUGAGUGACAUCCCUCCUCUAUGUUCGCUUCCAGAUCAUCUGCUUAUUGUAAUUAUCUGACUGGCCAACUCUCUCUCGUGUCAACAAGCAAUUGGCUCAUCUCUUUCGCCAAGACUUGUUCUGGACUGCUGCUCUUCGUACCACUUUUCCUCUCUCUCUCUCUCUCCACGUCAACCCGUGGCCUGGCCCUAUUCCUCAAGCCUUCACCAAAAGGUACCCUACCCUAUUGGCCUGUCCAAACAUGGAUGUUUCAUUUCAUAAUCAUCAAUUCUUCUUCUUCUCCUCCCUCUUACCUAUGUCAGCAAACACAUCUUUUCACUCGGUGAAAAUUUGGAUGAUGAGGUUGUUGGUCACGUUUAUUUAUUUCUCAAAGACCAGCUUCAAAUCUCAAACAUGCCCCCUUUGUCCGCAGUACUUCACGGAACCAUCAUAGAUCAGUUUAUUGCCUGUGGUAAGUCGAGGGACACGGCUCAUGAGCUUGCUUCAACAAUCUGGCUGGCUGUGGUUGACAGCUUGGAGGAGAAUGAACAUACAUUUAAUUUGCUAAAGCGUCUUGCAUCAGAAGGGGAUGUAAGCAAAAUUGAAUCAAACUGCUUUGGUAGUUUUUUUGUGUUAUUAAUCAGCCAGUAGUUUAUAUUUGUUAUAUAUGUGGUAAGGGGCUAUCCAAAAAAUAAAGAUGGAGGGAGGGUAAGAGCAUGAAAGAUUUCCACCUUAGUCUAAACAGUUUUCAGAGUUGUUUGUGUGUGAUAUUCGAUAUGUCCCGUACUCAAGGUCCUAUGAAGUCCAACGGAGAGUGUUUGAAAGGCUUUUCACUGACUUCCGCGACUGCUUGAAUCAUGUGGAGUACCCUCAGCUUGGUAGGGCUACUAGCUAGCUUUGCAGCAUGCAAUCACAAAUGUAAAGUGUUUAUUUUAAAAUGUAAUGUAAUUUUGCAAGACGUGUAAAAUGGAACAUGACGGACAAAGAUUAAUUAAUGUUGCGAAAUAAAUGUCCUGAGUUUCAACCAGAA